rfam:Kazachstania africana CBS 2517 chromosome 2, complete genome
UUCCUCGUGGCCCAAUGGUCACGGCGUCUGGCUACGAACCAGAAGACUCCAGGUUCGAGUCCUGGCGGGGAAG